CCCCUCUCUUUACCUCUCCUCCAGCUUCCAGGCUUCUCUCUCUCCACCAUUAAUUCCCUGUGCACCUUCUCUUUCCCAUCCUGUCUUUUCUUUUUCGUUGUCUUGUAUUCCUGUUGUCCUUCAACAAUGUGCCAGACCCUGUGUUAGGCGCCUGUUCUCUCACCCGUCCUUUUCACCUUCUCUUUUCGGGCUCCUCCUGUGCAGAACAUUCCUGUCUUCAACAGGUCGUCUUUAUUACCCUAUCCUUUCACUAUAAAUUACCACUGCAGCUCUGAAAACUACUCAUUAGACAAAUGUAAAGCAAAAUUCUGUGGCUGUGGGAUGUUGUUAAGGAGAACUGAAACGUCUUGUGCAGUGUUUGUUAUUUUAUUUAGUUGGAAGGACUGGGAUUAGUCGCAGUAUCCCCAGGCACAUUGUGGAUACUAAGGAUUAGAAAUCGGAUAAGCGAAAGACGUAUGCCCACAAAAACAAUCAGAGGGCAGAAGUUCCUUUUUAUGUCCUCGGGUCUCUAUUUUCAUAUCUUUUAGAACUUUUUUUAUCCGAAUGAAAAGUGAAUUUCAACAAGCAUUUUAAGCUUAGCCAGAUCUUUUAUUUAAAUGGGAUAAUGAUAAAUACUGGCCUUUGGGUUUAAAUGAUUUUAUUGAUGGUGGUACAUAUGAAUUAGACUUAUUUAUUUAGGCUUGGCAAGAAAGAAGUUGUCCUGCUUUGUUCUGUACUUAAAAUUUAACAUUACUGUUUUGCUAGGGGCUGGCAAGGUUUAAUUGCUUAUGGAUGUCAUUCACUUGUGGUAGUGGUUGAUUCCAUUACUGCCCAAACUCUUCAAGUUUUAGAAAAGCAUAAAGCUGAUGUUGUCAAGGUUAAAUGGGCCAGGGAAAACUAUCACCAUAACAUUGGCUCACCAUAUUGCUUGCGCUUAGCUUCUGCUGAUGUCAAUGGGAAGAUCAUCGUCUGGGAUGUAGCAGCAGGAGUAGCUCAGUGUGAGAUCCAAGAGCAUGCCAAGCCUAUCCAGG
rnacentral:sRNA from 1 species